AUAAGUGCACAUUUUUAACAACACACAAAGCUUCAACUGCAAAAUUAUCCAUGGUUUCCCAAACUGUUGUUACUUCUAUGCUGUUAUCAGUUCCUUAUUGUGAAAUGCAUUCUCCUACUGCUCUUGACAAAUUUCUUUUCAUGUUUUCAGACUCAGCCUGCUUUGUGAAGGCCUCCUUGAUUAUGGCUAUCUUUUCCCAGAUAAAUAAGUAUCUUCCCCUGGAGCUACCACAGUAUUUUAUUGAUUUCUGCAGUCAAUUUUUCCUCCUCAAGUGCAAAUCAUUUCUUUAGACAUCUACUAUCUUUUCUUUUAGACUGCAGAGGACAAGCUCUUCUUGGUUGUCAUUGUUGUUUUCGCUUUGUUUCAUUUUUUGGCUGUUCCCACAGCAUGUGGAAGUUCAGGUCAAAUCUGAGCCACAGCUGAGACCUGCCUAUCCAGCAAGCCCAGAUCCUUUAACCCACUGAGGGCCAAGAAUUGAACACACAGCUCCAAAGACAUCCAAACUGCUGCAGUUGGAUGGUUACCCCAUUGGACCAUAGUGGGAACUCCAGGACAAGUUUUUUAAAUCAUCUUUGUAUAAACAGUCUUUAUUUCUUUUACUCAAUAAUUGCCUAAUGAGUUCCUGCUCAGUACUAGGCACUGAAGUUUCAGAAGCAUUUAAAGGAGUUCCCUGGUGGACCAGUGGUUAAGGACACAACAUAGUCACUGCUGUGGAGCAGGUUUGAUCUGUGGCCCCAGAACUUUCACAUUUCAUGAAAGAAGAAGAAUAUAGAUAAGGGGUGUCAGGGAUGGCUUUCUAGAGAUAAUGCCUGAGGUCAGUCAGCAGUGAGGUCAGUCAGAUUCAAAGGAACAGAGGUCAGGAAAGAGAGAGGGCAGGCAAGGCUGUUCUGAGGCAGGAAGAGAAGCAUACAGUUGGGUAAAACAAGGCCUCAGGAGCUGUUCAGAUGACUGGAGCAAAGGACAGCAAGAAGAGCCUUGAGAUAGAGUCAGGCCAAAGUCAGAUUAUGAAUGCCUCAUAUAUGAUUUUAAGAUGCCUGGACAUUCAUAUGCUUUCUCGAGUGGUUCAGGGUCCUACAUGCCCUUGAGACAGAUCACUCUUAGUGUGCUGGGAGGGAUGCAUUUGAAAGGCAUACAAAUAAAUGGAGGGACAUGAGUCUGAAGGCUUUAAUAAGCAAAAAAGCUGUUCCAGGCUUCAACUGAGGAGAUGUUUCCAGAAAUACUUAGGAUCUAAGACAAUCGGGGCCCUGCAUAGGAUCAAUCAUUAUUAAUGAACAAAGGCAUAAAUCCUGGGUCCUUGGAGAACAAGGCCCUGCUUAAUAUUUUAUGAAUGGUAACAACUGAGAAGGGGAAUUAUCUACAGGAGUGGCUUGAAGUUAUUCCUAUUUAUUUUGCAGUUUUCCUGUUUCACAUCUUCCCAUGUUGAGGGUGAGGGAGUGGGAGGGACUGGGAGUUUGGGUUCGUACAUGCACAUAACUGCCUUUAGAAUGGAUAGGCCAUGGGGUCCGCCUGGACAGCACAGGGAACUACAUGCAAUCAUGUGUCACAGAACAUGACAGACGAUGGUAUGUGAAGGAGAAUGCCUAUGUGUGCAUGGCUGGGUCCUUUUGCUGUACUUGACAGAACACUGUAAGUCAACU
rnacentral:lncRNA from 1 species